UCCGGCGGGAAACUUGGACGGGGGGGGGGGAAGAGAGCGGAAGUGUGCCGACGUACCGCGUGGUCAUCGUCAAUGCUUUGGCAACGUCAUGGCGGCAUUUUCUUCUAUACGUCAUCUAAUCUAUGCACUUAUAGAUGAAUCAUUAUCAUUAUUAACAACGAUUAAACGUUAAUAUUUAGGCACUAAACCUAAUUUGAUUAGACUUAGACUUCCUUUUUAUUGUCAUUCAAAUUUGAACUUUACAGGACAGAUAAGAACGACAUUUCGUUACAUAAGCUCAUGGCAGUGCGGCAGGGCCGGCCCGUGGCAUAGGCCGUAUAGGCAAAUGCUAAGGGCGCCGUCCAUCACGGGGCGCCACGCCAGUGCCACAAAUGUUGGAGAGAAAAAAAAAAAAAAGUUGGUACUAUUAUUUCUAAAUACAAAAAAUAAUCCCACGUUAAUUAAAAUGCAAAGUAAAGCCUAUAUAAUAGAAAUAUUAUUUGUUACAAUAUUACGCCCCUCCCCUCGCACGGUGCGCCCCCUCCCUUCCCGUAUCAUGACUCUUUUUGGACGUCACCACAUCAAAAAAUCAACACAAGAUGUCAAAACGGCCAAAACUGUCAGGUGCCCAGGGAAGAAAAAAAGAGAAAAGAAGAGGAGGAGAAACGAGAAAAAGACAGAGAUAGCAGACUCUUGAGAGAAUCUUCUACGUCCUGACGGGACUAAAGUAGAACGUUCUGGAAGGACCUGGACCACUUGCUGUAACCCAUGGAACCAUGGAUUCUGCUCUUUACCAGGAAAUCCCGGAGGAGGCUGCUGGACCAUCAGUUUGUGAAGAGUACUAGGGUUCUGCAGCAGGACAACUAGCAAGUCAGCUUCUGAACGGCUUUCAAACAAAAGGAAGGUUUUGGAGCAGCCGAGUCAAAGUCUGGACUUGAAUCCCAUUAAAAUGUUGUGAAAUGACCAUCAAAUGUUGUUCUACUGGAAAUCUCUCCAGUGUUGCUGAGUGAAAACUAUUCUGCAAGGAAGUGUGGGAGAUGUGAGACUCAUCAUGAGUUUCAGUUGUGGUCCAACCACGUCUU